AUUAACGGCUUCUGUUACGAUCGACCCGUCUCAGUCAGGGAAUCCGGUGGGAGUCCGGGACUGACGCGCAACGGUGAGGGAAAAAUCCCGAGUCCGAAUGCUGGCUGGGACGAGCGACCUGGC
rnacentral:ncRNA from 2 species